CUCGUGAGUUGGGCAGGAGGUGUGGGGGUUCCUGAACUGGCUCCACAGAUGGGGAAACUGAGGCCCAGAGCCAGGGAAGCACGGAUCAGAUGGAACUUCACCUCCAUCAAAGAUCCUUAGCCAAACAACCCGCACAGCUGUGACUGCGGGUGACAAAUGACUUCGGCAGCACGACUGUCAUGGCUUCUCCCUAAUGCAGUGUUUGGCAUCCAGCUCAAAACAGAAAUAAAUAAGGCGAUAUGAUCCGCUAAUGAAGUUUGCUGCUUGUUUGAAACUGAACACUGAACAGAAGGUUGAAAAAAUGAGGGACCAGAGGACUAACUCACCAAAGGCAGUAAGACACAGAUGAAAAAUAUUCGCUAGCAUCGAGCUGUUGGUGUUAUCAGCAUUAAUAAACAAUGCCCGUACUUAGA